UACGUAGGGCGCAAGCGUUAUCCGGAAUUAUUGGGCGUAAAGAGCUCGUAGGCGGUUUGUCGCGUCUGCCGUGAAAGUCCGGGGCUCAACUCCGGAUCUGCGGUGGGUACGGGCAGACUAGAGUGAUGUAGGGGAGACUGGAAUUCCUGGUGUAGCGGUGAAAUGCGCAGAUAUCAGGAGGAACACCGGUGGCGAAGGCGGGUCUCUGGGCCGAUACUGACACUGAGGAGCGAAAGCGUGGGGAUCAAACAGG
rnacentral:rRNA from 1 species